rnacentral:rRNA from 1 species
GUCGAGAAUCUUUCACAAUGGGGGCAACCCUGAUGGAGCGACGCCGCGUGGAGGAUAAGGUCUUCGGAUUGUAAACUCCUGUCAUGCGUGAACAAGGUUGCUUGGUUAAUACCUGGGCAAAUUGAUGGUAACGCAAGAGGAAGAGACGGCUAACUCUGUGCCAGCAGCCGCGGUAAUACAGAGGUCUCAAGCGUUGUUCGGAAUCACUGGGCGUAAAGGGUGCGUAGGUGGCGUGGUAAGUCAGAUGUGAAAGCCCGGGGCUCAACCUCGGAACUGCAUCCGAUACUGCCAUGCUAGAGUACUGGAGGGGUGACUAGAAUUCUCGGUGUAGCAGUGAAAUGCGUAGAUAUCGAGAGGAAUACCAAAGGCGUAGGCAGGUCACUGGACAGUUACUGACACUGAGGCACGAAGGCCAGGGGAGCGAACGGGAUUAGAAACCCGAGUAGCC